CAAAGUCUAGCUCUUGGCCCUGCACAGGACACCCUGAUAAUUACCCCAUGUGCCCAAGAGCAUUGUCCAAAUGCUUCUUGGACUCUGUCAGGAGCUGUGACCACUUCCCUGAGGAGCCUCUUCCAAUGCCCAGUCACCCUCUGGGCGAAGAGCUUUUACUAAUAUUCAACCCCCACAUCUCCCCUGAUGCAACUUGAGGCCAUUGCCUUGGGUGCUGUCACUGUCACAGAGCAGAGAUCAGAGAUCCUGAGGAAGCUGUAACUGCACUGAGGCCUCCCCUCAGUCUCCUCCAGCUGAACAGACCCAGUGCCCUCAGCCGCUCCCUGUAUGGCUCCCCCUCAAGGCCCCUCACCAGCUUUGUUGCCCUCCUCUGGACUCUCUCCAAUGGUUUUAUGUCUUUUGUACAUUGUGGCACCCAAAAGUGCCCCAGCACUCGAGGGCCUUCCUGCCUUUGAAGGAGUCAACAGUUCCUCUCAGUUUGUAUCAUCUGCAAACUUGCAUGGUAUCCCUUCCAGUCCUGCAUGCAAGUCACUUAUGAAGAUGCUGAAGAUCACAAGGCCUAAGACAGAGCCUUGUGGAACCCCACUGGUGCCAGGUCUGCACCUGAUGUCACCCCUUCACAGGAACCCUUUGUGCCCAGCCCAUGAGCCAGUGCUCACCCAUUGCAUGUGACAUUCCUUAGCAGGAGGGACAGCACAGCUUGGCCAAACCAGCCAGCUUCCUUGGGGACCUGGCCCACAGCAUACGAGUUACUGAGGAGGAGGAUAUCCCACCCCUCCUUGCUACUGCAUCGACCUGCUCCAGCUUCAUUCUUCCAGCUGCCUUUACCAGAGCAGAAGGACAGAAAGAACACAGUUAAGAAAAGAGAACAUGAAUAAAAGACACCUAGCAAAAGACAGAGAAAUCCUGAAAUUUUAAGGGUAGCAUGACUAAUUUCUGCUCAACCUAGGGUUUAAAUGUACUUUUUGGGAUUGAUUUUUGCUGCUCUAAAAGUGAACAUGAUUAUCCCAUGCUGAUGGUAGGUCAGAUUUCACAUCCUGGCAAAUCUACAUGAGCAACAUGUAAAGAGAGGGGCAAUGCUCUGCCCCAAGUCUUACAAAAAGUACCUAACUGGUGAAGUCAAUAUGACCACAAAGCCCAUCCUUGCUGGCUGACCUCACAAGAGAUUAUCUUGACAACUCCACAGGUGAUGCUUCUUCCCUAUAUCCACAUUCAAGCUUCAAGCCAUGAAGUGAUACUGAAAGGUUAUGAAAAGUUCCUACAAAGAAAAAUCCACCAGGGAGGUAAUUGCAACUACUCAGGCAGGUAACUUCUCUUAACAAAUACUGUACUAAAGCUCUUGCACAGAUAUAGUUCUGGGCAACAAAAAAGGAAAGAAAAAUAAAUCUCUUCUGUGGAAAAGCAAAACAGACAUAUAUUAAAAAAUUAGUUUAAGUACUCUUGCAAUUCUUUUGCCCCAGAUUUUUUUCUAGAUAUUGUCUGUUCCUGGAGCUGCAUAGGGAUGGCCAUUUCUGAACAUGUAGAGACCAGUAGCUGCCUUGCUAGGAUCAAGAGCCCUCAUCCUGAACUGGCAAAUAUGGUGUAACUCCAACUCCAGUGAAGUAAUACCACUUUGGAUCGCUUGAGACAUUAUCCACAAAUUAGUUCUUAACAGACUAGUAGUAUUAUAUUAAUUAUUUAUAAGUAACACCAAGCAAGAACUGAGUGAAAAAAAUAAAUUAGGCUUUGUCAGGAAAAAUUUAAAAGAGCAAGAAAAACACUCCAAUUCCCAUUGCGGUUGGGAGGCACACAAGCAGAUAACUUCUAUGUAUGGUGGGGACUAAUACAACAUUAUAACCCACACCAAAUGCUUCUGCUUAAAUUUUUAGACUACUUAAUUCUCACUAGUCCUAAUAGGAGUGUGAAAAUUACUUUCACUUAAUAACAUCUUACUGCAAUUGAGGCCAAGUCUGUGCCCCUCAGACUACAGUAACCUGAAGAAACUGCUAAGGGAGUGCCUAUAGGACAUACAGUACUCUGAGUCCUCUCCUUCACACUCAUAUGUAAGUCAAGUGCAAAUUUCCCAAUUAGCAGCACUCUAGGAAAAACUAAGUAACAGUAAAUAAUGUACAAAAAUAAAAAUUGAAAAAUCUACAGUGCAGUGAAUACCAAGUCAGAUUCUUACAGGUCCUCCAGAAUGUCCCCUUAUUUUAUUAUUUUGAUUGCUUUGUUUUUUAAGACAUCCGAUUGCAAAAGGCAAUAGUGAAACCACAACCCAUCCAUAGUGCAGAAACCUUGUCUGAAUUUGCAGAGAAACUGAUGCAGUAAUUUUGGUUAUAAAAAGGUCAUGAUUCAAAUGCCAAUGACAUUACUUUAACACUGUUGAAAAUGCACUGCUAAUUAAAGUGUACAAGAGAUGAAGAUGAGUACCUACACAGUCGAUUUGAGUGACUACUCAUUUUGGGUAGGCUUUUAAAACAGCAUUGCUGGUAGCAGCAAUAUUGCAAGCCUAAUUUUCUUGACAAGUCAGGAUUCAGCUUUCUAAACUUGAGAAAUGCUGCAUUAACUGAUGAAGACUGUAAUUCCAUCUGGAGGAACACAAUAAAUUUGAGCUUUGUUCUUGUGGUCUAGCAUGUCACCAGAAACCUUUGCUGGAGUUACAGAAGUACUACAUGCAGACAAGAGUGCAUUACCUCAUCAAUAAAAUGUUUCAGGAGCUGUUACAGAAGCAGCAGCAGAAAAACAAAGAGCAAUUUGAACUUGAGAGAAGCUAUUUGUUCUAUCUUAUGAGUUAAUUUGUAAUGCCAAAAUAUACCAUUAACUAAAAUAACAGUUUAUUUAUAACUUCAUUUUAAGCUCAUAAGAAAAAAAACUCGUUGCAAUGCUAUAAAUUGUGACAUUCCAUUUCUAUAGAGUGGUUCAUAUUGCAGAUUUUGAAAUGCAUUACAAAACAGGGAGAAAGCCAGCAUUUUGUAGGUAUAAACCAAAAGAUACAUCUUCCUCAGAGAGAAUUUUUUCCCCACAGAGCUCUGGAUAUCAGCUUUGAUCAGAGCAGCUAAUAUUUUCAACAGAUGCUGAGGAUUGGAUUUUCUUCUUUUAAAACAAAUAAAAGGCAUUUGCCAUCAUAUGUCAUCUGAAUGACUUCAUCCUAAAUUUAGAGGAGUAUUUUAAUCUUCUAAUCUGUACAAGACCUUGUUCUGAGAUCAUGUUCUCUUUAGUGCGUCCAUCGUCACUGGCUUGAAAUUCAGAUGAGAAGGGAGAGCACUAACAAUUGUCUGCUGAGAAAUAUUGCUUUGGAGAAGGGAGGAGACUUGUUCAACACUCAUGCACAUCAUCUGUCUCACUAACAUUCCAGUCUUCAAAAAGCCCCCUGAAAAUUAACUUAUUGUUGAAUUUAUCAUGCCUAAUUGUACAGCGCAACAACCUCAUCCUUCCCCUUAAUUUUAUCUGACAGGGAGACACUCUAAAGAACAUGAGGCCAGAGCUUAUACAGAAGGAACCAGACCAGCUAGAAACUUGUAGAAAAAAUAGGCUGCCCAAAAAGAAUUCAAUUUCAGGUGCUCUGAGCCUUUCCCUGUGAUCCCCACUUUUAGGAAUUUCCUCUGUUGCACUGAAGACCGAGUGACAAGUCUGGUGCUACUCCCCAAGAUGGAAUAUUCCCCCCAGACACCUACACACCCCUAUAUCUUCUCAUAAUUUUUAAAAGCUGCAUGACACUGAAGUAAAUGCAAAUACACUUGACACCUCUGGUUCAGCUCCAUAUGUGAUGUCCUACAUUCAGGAAGCUCAAAGCGAAAUUAUGUUGCCUCCCUUCACCAGCAAGGUUCAGAAAGGCAAAAAAACAUAACUCAUCUAGGGCUGCAAGAAAAGAGGAAUCAGAUGGCAACAAAAAUUAAGGCUAUUGCUGAAUCCAAAGCCCCUCUGUGUUGUCAUUUUACUAUUUAUAAGUAAAUAUAUCAUCCAGGUAUCUUGUCACAUUUUAAGUCUGAUUAUCUUGCACUGUUUCUUUGGCACUCUGUCAAGAGACACACAUAUGUAGUUGUCAUUAUUCCAAGCAGGUUUUAACAUUUGCAAUUGCAAUUGCAAAGUUUUUUUUGAAGGUUAUCAGAAAAGAACAAAGUUCAGAUGCAGAAUAAACUGGAACAUUUUCUAUUCAUGAAAACUUUUUAAAAAUCAGCACAGGGAUUUGAUUCAUAUAUGGGAAAAAAUUGGUCAUUUGUAAGGUAAAGCAAUGGGAUGUAUGAUGUUAAAAAUCUUUGGUUGAACCAGGUUUCCUCUAGUACAAUAACUGGACUGGUAUUUUAUCCCUGAGCUUCAGAACUGUGUUAAAGACUGUAAUUUGCCAUGCCACUUGUUAAGCCUUCUUAAACAUAUUCUGAACUUUGCCUUUUGUGCAUUCCAUCUUUCCAUGGACUGUUCAUGGCACCAAGUACCUUCUAAAGUAUUUUAUUAGUCUUUACAGUAAAAUACUGCAAAUAACAUAAUAAAAUAUCAAGGUGGAGAAUUCACAGCAUUUGAACUCUAUUUACGUAGUCAUUGCAAUAUCAUGCAUCUCAUACUAAAUAGGAAACAAUAUGUACCCACAUUAAAACACAAAAUAUCUGUACAGGUACUGGUUUCUUUUGACACUAAACAAUGAAAAAAAAUUUAAGUCAUUUAGACUUAAAUAAACCUUGCAUCAGGAAAUCCAUUAACAUAAUAACAAAUCCUAAAGAAAGUUUAGAUUACUUGGAUCAUCUAGAGCUGAGGAAGAACUAAAACUCCCCAUAGCAGUUAAGUAGUUUCUAUUUUCCAGAUAUGACUUUCAGGUGAUGAAAGUCCCAUAGCUUCCCUUAGGAAUCUAACCCACAGGCUACCAGACCUCUGUGAUACAGUCCUGGCUGUAGUAAAUUAGUCUAGCUCCAUUGGCUUAGGGCUAACCAGGUUGAUUUUUCACCAGCUAAUGUGUUUUUACAGCAAUAGAGAGCAGAGCAAAAUUAAAUGUCAUUUUUAUAAUUGCCCCCCUCAUUUAAUUCAAUCUCUCUUAGAAGACUUCAGCACUGCAGACUUCUUCAUUUUAAAUGCUUAAACAGGAGGUGAAAAUGCUACCCGAGAAAUAAAGGUCCUUUAAAACGCCAAAGACAUUUCCCCAUGUUUCCAUGGAAAUGGGGCUUUACUCUUUAACCAAGAUUACAUUAAUGAUCAUAUGCCUGAAGUCGCACAAAAGAGAGAAAGAGGACAGAAAUUGCCAGCUACUCCAGCGUGUGUUGAUCUGGAGCACAACCUCCCCAGUUAGGGGUAGGACUUUCUGCAAUGCAAAGGUUCUGCAGAAGCAGCUCUCACAGUGUUAGAACAGAGAAUGCUUGCUGAUUUAUUUUUAAUUUGGCUCAGUAACCAUGUUUGCUAACUAUAGAAGUAAAACAAAUAAAUCAAUGCCAUCAUCAUCUGAGGGAGGAGGAGGAGGAGGAGGAGAAAGAAAGGGCUGCUUUAAUAAAAGUAACACUAAAUGUGUUGCCGUGCUCCAGCCCCCUUGCAAUGUGUCUGUAGCUGUUUUAUCUAGGCCUGCCACCCAUGGCUGGAUGCUGAAGACUGAAGGAUCGCUCUGGAUUGCUGUGUUGGAGGCUACCACCAUUACAGCACAAGCUGACAGCAAACAACAAAGCUUUUCUGAGCUAGGAACGUGUGCUAUGAACAACAGACUCUGCUGGUGGGAGCUGUUGGUCUAAUAGCCAGUGCAAAGGAAGCAGAGGUGUGAAAUGACCCGUCCAGGUUCCAUCUUUUCUAUGGCCAAGACAAGAGUAGUCAGGUUUCCUCAGGAUAUUCAUUGCAUCCCUCACCAGUGGAUAGCACUGGCUCUGUGCUGAGACUUUCAGCCUGGCAGAUCUGAACCACAGAUGACUUCAGCCAUAUCUGAAGGUAUGGCUUCAUUCUUUUGUGCCAAACUGUCCCAGGUCUCCAUUUGUCCUAACUGCAAUACCGCCAUUUUUUCACUGAGCAGAGCUGGAGCCUUGAAAAGGAUUCAGUGAAGAAUGUGCCAGAUCAGUUUGCACAGUGCCCACCCAAAGGCCAAAGAGACAUCACACACUACACAGGUGCUGAAGUGUCAAGGAAAAUCCCCACACUCUGACCAGAAAAACUCCAGUCCACCUUGAGAUCCAUACACAGAGCAAAUAAAGGACAGAUCACACAAAGACAAGUACAUUUGGCAGAGAAAAUAUAAGCUAAAUUAUUUUUUGGGGGGACAUCAAAAAAGGAUACCAAAGCCCAGUAUUUUCUACUUCUAUGCAACUGUUUUUACUUUGGAUUCUGCUGUUCAAUGCUACUCAGAACAUGAAUCUCCUGAAUUGUCACUAGGACCAACCCAUUGGGAACUGUUGCUGAAUUUUGAUUUUUAACACAGAUUUAAUAAUAACAAAAAAAAUUAACUUUUGAUCUCUAAAAAGGCUUGCCAAACAGAAGUCACAUUGUGGAAAUGAAAAUCAGGCCUGAUUUAUUAAUAUACUCUUCUAGGCAUGCAAAGCCUUAGAGAGACUGCAUACAGGAAAGAAAUAUAUUCUCUUCUUUAUCCCAAAUUUAGAUCCACAAAAGAAAGUGGCUCUUAGUCUAGAAAGCAGUGAAGCCUGUGAUCCUUUGCACCAUGACAACCACAAUGCCAGAUGCUGAAGGUCUGGGGCAACAGAUCUGUGUGGAAUAUUUUUCCCCCAUAUAUUCUGUACAAAGCGUAUGCCCUACCUCACACUAGCUGAGAGCACCAGAAGGUAGAGGGAAUAACAAAGGUAAUCUUUUUGUGCAGAUUAAAAUAAAAGAUUAGCAAACA